rnacentral:misc_RNA from 1 species
AACGCACCUUGCGCUCCUCGGUAUUCCGAGGAGCAUGCCUGUUUGAGUGUCGUGAAGUCUUAUCGAAAACGGGGGUUUCGCUCCCUUUUCGGACUUGGACGGUCUUGCCCUCUCGACCCUCUGGUGUCGAAAGGGGCUCGUCUUCAAAUUCAUCGGCGAGGUUCGCCCGUCCCCCCCCCCGAAGAGUUGACCUCGGAUCAGGUAGGAAUACCCGCUGAACUUAA